rnacentral:rRNA from 1 species
UACGGAGGGUGCAAGCGUUAAUCGGAAUUACUGGGCGUAAAGCGUGCGCAGGCGGUUUGUUAAGUCCGUUGUGAAAGCCCCGAGCUCAACUUGGGAAUUGCAGUGGAUACUGGCAGGCUGGAGUACGGUAGAGGAAGGUGGAAUUCCCGGUGUAGCAGUGAAAUGCGUAGAUAUCGGGAGGAACACCAGUGGCGAAGGCGGCCUUCUGGACCAUAACUGACGCUGAUGCACGAAAGCUAGGGGAGCAAACAGG